CAACAGCCAUUCAUUCUCUGCUCAGACUUCCAGGACAAGUUGAUCCCUUUUAUGAGUAAAUUGUCUCCUGAAAACCCCACUGCUUGCUGUCAAUGCGUCUUCAGUCUGAGAAGAUAUUUGAAAAUCAGAAUAAAAAUUCAAAAUGGAAAAUGAACCCCUAAACGUAGGGUCUCCCCAAGCAUCUCUUAAUGUAGGUAGUCAUUUUUUUUUUUUAGCAAGCCAAUUCUCUGUGAGCAUUUUCCCCAUGUUGAGCCCAGAGUCCUGUUAGUGUUGGUUUUUUAAAACUUCAAGGACUAGAAAGGCUUUGUAACAGCCAGUUGAUGUUAUGAUUUGUUUAUAAAAUAGGGAAUUAUGUAUAUUGAGACAGAAAUAUUUUAUUUUAAAACAUAGGAUUUUGUGCAAUAUUUUUCUUGCGUCGUUUAGUUUAUAUAAAUAUGCACAUCUGCUUUUCUGGCAGAUGCCUUAAGGUCAUGUCUUUCAGUAUUUGCCUAAAACUGUAUGUAGCAAUGUUCUAUGUGAUUUCAGAAAAAAAAAUUACUCUUUGUAUUGUUAGCAGAAGUGCUCUUGUUUAUUUAAAAUAAUUGUGGAGAUUGCAUUAUUGUAUCAUACCUAACUGCCUCAGCCACAGUAAAUAUGCAAUAAGAAAAUCACGUUCCUUUGAUUAGUAUUGACAACACUGUUACUUUAACAGAAAUGUGUGUGCUACCGAGCGCUGGCUGUCUGUAUUCCUUUAACAGCUACUCUGCGGCACAUGGAUCUGAACGGUCUAUCUAUGUGAUAGCCAUGUGUGUGGAUUAGGACACUUUGUGAUGCGUCUUUGUUGAGGCUUCUGAAGGGCAUUGCCAGUACCUUCUGACUGUAAAUUAAUUGUUGUAUGAUGUAUAGUUUGUUUAGCCUUGGAGCUUCUAUAGAUUUCUACUUUUAUUAUACUUGAAUGAGGCAGGAAGCACUGUGGGCAGGAUGCAACUUGCAGAUAAACCAAAAAUAAACCAAGGUACUGAACAGCAAUGCUGACGGAGUGCUUUAUAGUCCAGGAGUCCGUGUUUUUCCAGCCACAUUUUAGGGAAAUGAAGUAAUUGAAGAUAAUACAGUCUUUUAUCUAGACAGUAUAGUCUCAAAUGAUUACCUCCUCGAUGUGUCAACAGUGUGUGUCCUUUUUAAACUUCCGUAUCAGUCCUUAGAUAGCUUAGUUGAGGGCCAUCCAUGCUCCCUCCUCGGACCACUCAGUGUCUAGGACGGAACAAACCAACUACAUUGUGCAUAUUAGAUGCACUGUCUGUGUGAAGUCACUGUGUUUUAGAUGGAGUAGCUUUCAUAGGUAGCUUUGAGAACUCUUUAAUAAUCAUAUACCAAAAACUAAAACCUAAAUUUUUAAAGAUCAGUUAUUCCUUAGCUGUGCCUAAAAACUCUUAGUCAUGAAGGCCACAUGAGGGACUCAGGAUUGAAUGUUCCCAAAGUGUGUGUUCGUUCCUUUAGCUGAAGAGUUACUUAUUCAACAUAACCUGUAGCUCAGAAAACAAAACUAAGCAAAAACAAAACAACCACGAGCAACAAGACGGUGAGAUGUGCUUCAUUGUCCUUGCCCCUGCGGCUACAGGCCGCCAUCUCGGAACGAGACUCCUAUGGGAAGAUGUUCUGUAUAAAGGUACUGCUUGGGAGCUUUUUUUAAUAUGCAAAAUAAAAUGUUGGAUGAACUCUGCUUUGCCAUAAAGUACCCAACAAUGUCGUUGAAAAUAAAAUUGGUCACAAUCAAA
rnacentral:lncRNA from 1 species